UUGACAGUUUUCCUCUUGCAGGGAAGUGUGUGGACUUCAUGCUGUGAUAGCUAAACCCCAGACAGAAGAUUGGCAUUGGCAGAAAUGUUUGGUACACUUGGGAAAAAUGGCUUUUAUCCUUUCUGAUGAUCAAGAGAUUUCACUACCUAACUUAAGUUCUCUGGAAGCAUUCUAUAUAACUUAACAAUGCAGUAAGAUGAAACCACAGUAUUUUUCCUUACGUGCAUAAAGUAACCAGAUAAGAGAGAUUUCUUAAUGCUUAGUAUAUUUUCUUUUGAUCCAAAGUCCGGUUCUGAAAUGGGAAGUUCAAUACGCUUCAUAAUCUCUACUAGUUCGGCUCUGAUAAUUUCUGCCAUCCUCAGUGCAGAACAGCUUAGAAAAUAAUCACGACACCAUUUCUCAUUACUGUAGUCUGUGGAGGAAAAAACAGUAAUUUGGCUUAAAGCAAAGUCUUACUGAUAGGUACUAUCCACAGAGAUACUGCACUAUAAAAUGCUCUUUGACUGGUGCAAUAGAUUAAAAACAUUUUGGAGCGACUAGCUAUGUCAGAGCUGACCAAAAUUCUGAUAACAAGAGCCAUGUGGACAGCUUAGGCUCAUUGAUAUUGCUGGUAAAGUGGGCAAUACUCGAUAUCCUUGCUUGGUUUUAUAGAAUUUCAGCUAUAUCUUUCUGCAUAAAAAUAUUCAAAAUCCCUUAUUUAGUCUGUAAAAACUAAUAGCUUCAAAUGGAAUGAGUAGAAAGUCUAUUUUCAGGCUUUCUGGAUUCAGGCCAGGAUAUGGAACUGAAAUCACAUCUGUAAUGCUGGUGAUGAUCCUGCAUGCUGGUGAAGGACAGGUUCUCUUGGACCUCUCUUCAGCAUUGAGCAUGACUGAACGUGAAACAAUCCUACUGUUCUGUCCUAAGUUUUUAGUUAGUAUAUGCAAAUUUAGCAUUCCAAGUACUGGACUCAGGCUAAAUGAACCUGAGCAAGAUGUUUGAGCACAGGAAAAUGCUGUGAAGAGCUGCUGUCUGCUGUGCAGUCCCUUGGCUUUUAUUUGCUUUCCUGUAAAUGUGAACUUUACUACUUUCAAUUUUUUCCCUUAAACUUUCCUUUUAGUUGACAGCUAUCAGAAAAACACCAGAAUUGUUAGGCUGCUGGGGGAAUCAAGUCCCUCCUCAACUUUGUCACUUCACAUCUUAAACCUUGAUUAUGUGCUCUUACAGGAGGAACUAUCAUUCUGUUUUUGUACAGUAUCACUUAAAAUGACAAUUGUAAUAGUGCUUACGUAUCCCUGUUGGAUGAGGUAUGCUGCCCUAGGUCAUUUUCAGUUACUUAGUAAGCUAAAACUAAUACUCAUUUGCAAUGUCUACUAUUUUGGGUUUCUCCCUGCAAAUUAGCAAUUCUAGAAGGAAUCAUUCAAAAAGGGUUUAUGAAUUAAUGCUAACAAUGACUGUUCAGAUUUUUGUUUUGUUUUUUCAAAAUUGGUUACAAUGUGCUUCAUUUUGUCUGGUAUGGGUACACUUACAUUGGCUUGCAGAGUUGGCGCUGGCUUCCUUGAAGGCAUUGAAGACAUUGAUAAGGGUGAAAUGAUCUCCUGCAGGGUGAGAGAAUUUUCGCCAGCAAGUAAGAGCGAUCUCUUCUGUUCCGGGAGGGCUGCUUGCCAAUGCCAACCACUGCUGCCAUCGAGGCAAACCACAAGGCUUUGUGACUUGACUGCUGCUUUCACGGGAGCAAAGUUAAAAAGAAGCUCUCAAGAUGUGUCCUGUAUUUUCAGCAAGAAACUGUCACAUCCCUGGAAGUUUAAAAGGUCUGUAUACCGUCUCAGAGAGCCCUCCUCCUCUUCCUCAGCCUUUUUCAUCACUUCAGGUUACAGAAGGCUUAUGCAACUAAACCAACUGCAGCAAAGAUAAUGAAACCUUCUUGGGAAGCUAAAAUCUCUUGCUCAAGAAAGGAUGCCUUCCAUCUCUGAUAGCUCUUCUUUUUGCC